rnacentral:rRNA from 1 species
AUUGAACGCUGGCGGCAUGCCUUACACAUGCAAGUCGAACGGUAACAGGUCUUCGGAUGCUGACGAGUGGCGAACGGGUGAGUAAUACAUCGGAACGUGCCUAGUAGUGGGGAUAACUACUCGAAAGAGUGGCUAAUACCGCAUGAGAUCUACGGAUGAAAGCAGGGGAUCGCAAGACCUUGUGCUACUAGAGCGGCCGAUGGCGGAUGAGGGAGUUGGUGGGAUAAAAGCUUACCAAGCCGACGAUCUGUAGCUGGUCUGAGAGGACGAUCUGACCCACGGGGACGCAGACACGGCUGAGACUCCUACGGGGGGCAGCAGUGGGGAAUUUUGGACAAUGGGCGCAAGCCUGGUCCAGCAAUGCCGCGUGCACGAUGGAGGCCUUCGGGUUGUAAACUGCUUUUGUACGGAACGAAAAGCCCUGGGUUAAUACCCUGGGGUCAUGACGGUACCGUAAGAAUAAGCACCGGCUAACUACGUGCCAGCCGCCGCCGUAAAAC